UGUUUGCCCGGUGUAAAGUGCUCUGUACUUUUCAUAUUGCAGGUGGUUCUGUGGGUGUGGGAGAUGUUCAUGAAACAAUUGAUAUGGAUGGGACCUACUCUUUGAUUACUUCUGUGCCCUCCACUUUUAAACCACUCCCAUCUGGCUCUCCUGUGAAUAUCACAAAAUCCAGCAGUGACACACCUGGUCAAGAUGAACUCUACUCCUUCAUCUGUAAACUCCCGACCGCUUGCCAACCGUCCACCAACAAUGUCUCCUCAGCUACCCUUCAGAACAGCAUAGUCUACAGCACUCUGUAGAUUUCAAAUACUUCUGCCAUGUUUUUCAAAGUACACUGUAUAACUGCCAUCGUGUGGAGAUGUAAAGUCUGUUAGGUGAAUAUUUAAUCAUUUGUUUUGUUUAAGCAUUUGUUGAGUAUGUAUUCUGUGGCAAGAAGCUUUCUAAAUAGAGUAAUGUAGGAGUCAGACUGAGUUCAGUCCAAGUUAUCAUAU